rnacentral:rRNA from 1 species
UACGAAGGUGGCAAGCGUUACUCGGAAUUACUAGGCGUAAAGGGCAGGUAGGUGGUUCGGUAAGUCUGUUGUGUAAGCUCCUGGCUUAACUGGGAGAGGUCAACGGAAACUACCGGACUUGAGUAUAGGAGAGGUUACUGGAAUUCCCGGUGUAGCGGUGAAAUGCGCAGAGAUCGGGAGGAACACCAAUGGCGAAAGCAGGUAACUGGACUAUUACUGACACUAAGCUGCGAAAGCUAGGGGAGCAAACAGG